UACGGAGGGGGCUAGCGUUGUUCGGAAUUACUGGGCGUAAAGCGCACGUAGGCGGCUUUGCAAGUCAGAGGUGAAAGCCCGGGGCUCAACCCCGGAAUUGCCUUUGAGACUGCAUCGCUAGAAUUGUGGAGAGGUAAGUGGAAUUCCGAGUGUAGAGGUGAAAUUCGUAGAUAUUCGGAAGAACACCAGUGGCGAAGGACGAACUU
rnacentral:rRNA from 1 species